rnacentral:rRNA from 1 species
GACGAACGCUGGCGGCGUGCUUAACACAUGCAAGUCGAGCGGUAAGGCCCUUUCGGGGGUACACGAGCGGCGAACGGGUGAGUAACACGUAAGUAAUCUACCUUUGAGUGGGGAAUAACAGUCGGAAACGGCUGCUAAUACCGCAUAAUGCAGCGGCAUCGCAAGAUGACAGUUGUUAAAGGAGCAAUCCGCUUAAAGAGGAGCUUGCGGCAGAUUAGCUUGUUGGUAAGGUAACGGCUUACCAAGGCUACGAUCUGUAUCCGGUCUAAGAGGACGGUCGGACACACUGACACUGAAUAACGGGUCAGACUCCUACGGGAGGCAGCAGUCGGGAAUUUUGGGCAAUGGGGGAAACCCUGACCCAGCAACGCCGCGUGAAGGAUGAAGUAUUUCGGUAUGUAAACUUCGAAAGAAUAGGAAGAAUAAAUGACGGUACUAUUUAU